GGUUCGCGAUGCAUGCAUGCCUUUGUUAAUACUAUGCAUGAAAACAUGAUAGAUUUCGAACAAAUUAACGUCUAAAAGAAUGCUAAUCAUUUAAAAAAGAACAUCCAUAUUAAUACUGUUUUAAAAUAAUUAUACAGGUGAUUCAACAAUAGAAGGAUUUGAGAAGAUUGCUCUAGAAGACAAUAGGGCGCCACCUCUUGGACUAUACCGUUUAAAAAAUUGAUUCUUACUUGUUUAAUAAAUAAAGUAUAACCAUUAAAUGGAAGUGAAUACAGUGAAACCUGACUUAACCGAAUGUAACGUAAAACCCGUCUAAACCAAACAUGUUCUUAAGCACCGUCGUAUCAAAUUAAGUGCGUUGUGAACCUGAUAAAACCGAACAUCGGCCGAAACCAAACAAAAUCGGAAGUUCAAAAGAGGUUCGGUUUUAACAGGUUUCAUUGUAUACAAAAACAUACCAAAUUCUAAGACAAAUUUCAUGUAGGCGAAGUCAGUGAAACGUGACAAAAUCAAACGUUAGACUGUAUUAACCAAUGACACGUAUGGAAAACAAGUGUCAUAUUCCUUACUUAGUACAUCAACUUUUAGAAGAACACAACAUUUACAUUAUUUUGUCUCUGGUGGAUACAUAUAUGUCUCAUUGGCAAUCAUAUCGCAUCUUUUUAUGCUACUAUAAUUACUAAACAAUACACAGGAAACUAAACAUUGAGCAUGUUGAACGACACAACGUCCUUCAUAACUCGGGUGUGAACUAAUGACACCGUAAUAUUAAAGUCAGAAUUACGAAAAACAUUAAACUUAGCGACCAGGAUUUGUCACACGGUAGACUUGUGUGGUAUUCAUGAUAUAAAAUGAUGAGCAGCCAGCAGCCGGACAAAGGGAGAGAACUGUAACACAUUCUGUAAACAUUUAAAGAUAAAGUCAACCAGUGAUUUUUGGAC
rnacentral:lncRNA from 1 species